rnacentral:rRNA from 1 species
UACGGGGGGAGCAAGCGUUGUUCGGAUUUACUGGGCGUAAAGGGCGCGUAGGCGGUCAGCACAAGUCAGUUGUGAAAUCUCCGGGCUUAACUCGGAAAGGUCAACUGAUACUGUGCGACUAGAGUGCAGAAGGGGCAACUGGAAUUCUCGGUGUAGCGGUGAAAUGCGUAGAUAUCGGAAGGAACACCAGUGGCGAAAGCGGCUUCCUGGUCCAGCACCGACGUCAGGCACGAAAGCGUGGGGAGCAAACGGGG